AUGGCUGCAGCAAAUAAACCAAGUAUAAAUGCCGCAGAGUUGGCCAUCUUAGCCCUGGCCUAUUACCUUCAUCUCUCCCUUGCUCCUCUGCAUACCGUCAGGUCAGCAGCAUUGGCUCCCCCUGGAAGCUGGAGAGAAAGGCAAAAUCUGUGGCCCUCUCCCCAGACCAUCCGAUCAGAAUCUGCAAUUUCACAAGAUCCCCAGGUGAUUCAUAUGCACGCUAAGGUCUCAUCCACACUGAAGACAGAAACAGUCUAUGCAUUAGAAUUUGAAGAGGGAACAAAAAGGGAACCUGUAUUAAAAGGAUGCAUGCAAGGAAGGAUGCCAAGGCCAUGCAUUCUUCGUGAGAGAAAGGAGGAAGCCCCAAGGAGAAGGAGUUGGGACCAUCCGAGUAAGAAAACCCACCGCUUGUGUCUGAAUGUGAUCUUCUCUGGGAAGCAAAUGGAAUAUAGUCACUUGGUCACCAACUGCAGGAACACGUGAUGGGAUCUAGAACACUCAUUGGUUACCACCAUCGGGAAGAGGAGGGCGUGGUUAUGGUGGAAGCUGUGCGAGGGCAGAGAGUUUCAAAACUUCUCUUCACACCAUUCAUGCCAUAACUGUGUUCCCUGCACAUGGUCAUCCGAUCGCCACCGUCACACUCAAGAUCUGGAUAUUUCCCCACCCCCUCGUGGCUGCCCCUUUGGGCUCAACCCCCUCUCCCCAGCCCUGUGGCUUUGCCUUUUCUAGAAUGCCAUAUGGAUGGAGCCACACAGCAUGCAGCCUCUGAGUCUGGUUCCUUCACUUCACGUAAUGCAUUUGGGACUCUCCAUGUUGGUUGGCAUAUCAACAAUUCAGUCCUUUUUCAUUGCCUAGUGAUGGUUCAUUGCUGGGAUGUACCACAGUGUGUUUAUCCAUCCCCAGCUGGGAGACCUUUGAACUGUUUGGGCUCCUCGUGAUUACGAGUAGCUGCUAUAAAUAUUUGAGUGCAAAUUUUUGUGAGAACAUAAGGUACCAUUUCUCUUAGGUAAAUAAAUACCGAAGAGUGAGACUGCUGGGUUCCCAUGGUAAGUGUAUGUUUGUAAAAAACCUGCCAAUGUUUCCAGAGUGGCUGGCACUGUCUUUGCCCUGCCUUAGGUGAUAGCUGAGUGGUCUUUCUGAGCUGCGUUCCAGGCACUGCCCCCAGGCCCUUGGCACACACAGAACAGUUUUCACAUCAGAGUCUCAGGGAGGUAGCUGCCAGGAGCAAGGAACCACCAAAGAGAAGCUGUGGUCAGAGGCUCUGGAAAAGUCGGGGAGGCUGGGCUUACCUCCCCCAGCCACUGUCAGCUUCUAGACCCAUCUGCUGAAGCUCUGUGCCUCCUCUCUGAGGGAGCUUGGAGCCCACCUCUCUCCCCAGCAAAUGUGCAACCUCCCAAACACCACCCUUCUGGGUCAGGCUUUGUUGCCAGAAAAUGCGACUUUGUAAAGAAGCCCUUCUCCUCCCCCCCAAAAGGAGGCUAAGAAAGGCUCUCAGAUCAAUCCUCAGCAGAUACACGGAGUCACAAAGCUCCAGCAAAUCCUUUAUUCUCCCUUUGGAGCAGCUGCUGCAGCACCCCCACCCCGCANNNNNNNNNGGCCCCCAGUGGAAACCUGAAAACUAUUCAUAUCAUUUAAUCCUGUUGAAAAUCCUCUCCGCUCUUUCACUGAGGUGCGGUCGCCCGAGGUAAACCUGGGCUUAGUUCAUAUGUUGGAAGGGAGAUGAAAGGUGUCAUCACAUGAUCUGACAUCCUAUCCAGGAGGCUGACUCUCCCCUAAUGCGGAAGAGUCAUAACCCCUGACUGAGAGGAGCUAAAGUCAAGUCUUCAAGGAAAAGUCCCAUUUGGACUUUCUUUUACUGUGCACUCACUUUAGAAGAUGGCAAAACUGCAGAAGCAAAGUCGGUGGUGUGAGGGGAUUUGAGUAGCCUUUCACUAUGGCUCAUUCAUGUUAAGAAUCUACCAGAUUUUUUACACUUCAUACCAGACACGGUAAAAGAAGACUCUUCAGACCACUUUUACCCUAUUGCCAAUCACAGCCAUGAGGCUUGGAUCUCUCCCCUGGCACCAAAAAGUUUGAGACCUUAGAACCAAGUUCUUUAAUUUUAAGAGAUUGAUCCUAAGAUACUGAUAUAUCCAGAAUGAUCAUCAGACCUACUCUUUUUUCUUCUAGAACUCAUUGAUACUUACCAGUACCAACAGGCCCCAGACCUUCUCUUUUCUUUCCAGGCUGGGAGAAGACUUCUUAUGCGUUCCAUGGGUCAUACAGUUAGAGAGAAAGCAAAAGAACAUAGGAAACUGUAUGCAUAAUUUCAAAGAAUACAUUCUUUCUGACUUGUUUUGAGACCCAAGUAGGAUUUGGAGAAUAAGUGGUCCCAGGUGGCUAAUUUAGGGUGACUUCCCUAUGAGGAAAACUGUUAUAAGGCCCCCUUGAAAAUCCCAGUUUCCUGGCAGAUGACAUUUAUUUGCCUUCCACUAUGUGAGGGAUGGCCCAGGAAGCAGGCUGGAGAAACACAGAUGGAAGGGCCAUCCUGGAGAGUUUGUCAUCCUAUGGUUCUUGAAAUGUGAGGACAGCAGCAGGCAGAUGAAACCUGUGAUCAGUGUUCCCCAUCUCUGUUACCUGUUGGGAUCACCUGGGGAACUUUGAAGAGUAUAGAGGCCUGGGUCCCACCCCCAGAGACCCCAGUUUAAUGGGUCAGGGUUGGAGGCUGGGCACUGAGACUCUUUAAAUCUUCCAGUGUGUAGCCAUGGUUGAAACACACCUCUGGACAAACUAUGUCCCAAGUGGGCGGAUAAAUGCAUGACAUAACCAGAGCCUUCUCUCCCCUGGAGGGCCCAUCAGGCGUGUGUCUCAUGGAGCGAUGGGCCAGGGAAGUUAGGUGAGAGGAAGCUGUAGGAUACGUAACAAUUGGGACCUGCAGUGGUCAUGAGAGAGAAACUGGGAAAAUGCCACAUUAGCAUUUGUCAAAUGGGGAAUGGGACUGUGUGCCAGAGAACUAGGAAAGCGUGGAAGAGCCCUGAGUACCGUGUGUUUCUUCUGGAUCAUGCUUGCUUUGUGAUCAAAGUUCAGAUUAUUUUCAUAUGUGUUUUCUCAUGCCUCUAGAGGCAAUAAAGCAUAAGGAAUAAAAGAUAAGACUUGGGUUAGAACCCCAGCUAUGCUUUGAUUAGUACUGUCAUUUGAGCAAGUGAACCCCUCCAAGCCUCAGUUUUCCUAUCUGUAGAAUGGAAAUAAUACUUUCCUCAUAGGGUGGUUGGGAAACUGAAAUAAUUAUGUAAAAUAGCUCCAUGCUUGGCAUGUGGGAAACUUAUCAUGUGUUUUAGCUUCAUUUACAGUUGCCAUCAUGCACAGGGUGUGGGGUGGAGACCAAAGUCCAGGGGUAGGAGGGGGUGAGACAUGAGUGAAGGUUUUCUGAUGGAACAGAAUGGGAACUAAAAAAUAUUAAAAACUCCAGAAGCUAAGACGGAUGGAGCUCUUCAAGAGAGACAACCUGGGGCUUCCCUGGUGGUCCAGUGGUUAAGAAUUUUCCUGACAAUGCAGAGGACACAGUGUUCGAUCCCUGGUCCAGGAAGCUCCCACCUGCCUCAGAGCACGUCACCUCUGGAGCCCCCGAGCUGCAGCCGCUGAAGCCCCGUGCCCAGCCUGCGCUCCACAACAGAAGCCCCCACGGCGGGCAGCCCUCACCCUGCGGGGAAGAGGGACCCGGCUCCCGGCCACAGAGGAAGCCACGUGCAGCAAGGAGGACUCAGUGCAGUCAAAGGGAANNNNNNNNNNNNNNNNNNNNNNNNNNNNNNNNNNNNNNNNNNNNNNNNNNNNNNNNNNNNNNNNNNNNNNNNNNNNNNNNNNNNNNNNNNNNNNNNNNNGAAGCCACGUGCAGCAAGGAGGACGCAGUGCAGUCAAAGGGAAACGAAAAUAGAUGAAUACAUACACACUUUUUAAAAAAAGAAAGACACCGUGACAAGUACCUUUGAGCUCUGAGCAGCUUCUCUCUGAGGAGGUCUGUGUUGGUCGUGCUUUCAGAGAAGAGGCUAGAAUGUAACCAGGGCUAGAGGCUGGGGGUGAUGAAGUAAUUGUGCCAUGAAGAACUUGUCGGGUUGGUUUGAGUUGAAAGUGGAGCGUCUAGAGGAGCAGUAACACCGGCCUGUGGACAGAGCUUGACUCUAUAGGCGGCAGAGCAGAGUGGGUGGGGGGCUCGGCCCAUCAGCGACAGGGUGCACGUCCUGGGCCUGAGUGAGUGCACCCAGGGGAGGAGGGCGAGGGGGAGACACUGGGUGUGUGACGGUCAUUGGGAGGCAUGUGUGUGUGUGUGUGAGUGUGUAUAUGUAUGUCUGUGUGUGUGUGUGACUGUGUGUAUGUGUGAGAGUGUAAGUGUGUGUGUGUGUAUGCAUGAGUGUGUAUAUGAGUGUGACUGUGAAUAUGUGUGUAUGUGUGUGACUGUGAGUGUGUGUGUGUAUGAGUGUGUGUGUGACAGUUUGUGUGUGAGUGUNNNNNNNNNNNNNNNNNNNNNNNNNNNNNNNNNNNNNNNNNNNNNAAGAGAGGCCCAACUUGAGGCCAAUCAAGAGCCCACUCUCACGCGAGAGGGCUUGUCAAGGUUUCUGGCCUUGAACCUGCACUUCUUUUGUGUGGCCACCGGAAAUGUGAGAAGGCUGGCAGGAAGGGUCCCGAGUUCACUAGAGAUGGAACUGAACACCUCCCUGUUGGAUGGACACGGCUGCAGCCACUUCACACACGCUGCUGGGUGGGUGAAGUUCCUCAUCCUAAGGAGCUGUGGCUGACUCUGAAGCUCCUUUUCAUGCAG
rnacentral:lncRNA from 1 species